AUACGGAGGGUGCAAGCGUUGUCGGGAUUCACUGGGUGUAAAGGGCGUGUAGGCGGUCGAUUUAGUCGGGUGAGAAAUCCCUCGGCUCAACCGAGGAACUGCAUUCGAUACUGGUUGGCUAGAGUGCGGGAGGGGUAAGUGGAACUCCAGGUGUAGCGGUGAAAUGCGUAGAUAUCUGGAGGAACGCCGGUGGCGAAAGCGACUUACUGGCCCGCAACUGACGCUGAGGCGCGAAAGCUAGGGGAGCGAACGGGAUUAGAAACCCCGGUAGUCC
rnacentral:rRNA from 1 species